rnacentral:rRNA from 1 species
GACGAACGCUGGCGGCGUGCUUAACACAUGCAAGUCGAACGAAGUGGCGAACGGGUGAGUAACGCGUAAUCAACCUGCCCUUCAGAGGGGGACAACAGUUGGAAACGACUGCUAAUAACGCAUACUGAAGGAGGGGAUUGCGUCUGAUUAGCGAGUUGGAGGGGUAACGGCCAACCAAGGCGAUGAUCAGUAGCCGGUCGGCAGGGAUGAACGGCAACAUGGGGACUUAGACACGGCCCAGACUCCUACGGGAGGCAGCAGUGGGGAAUCUGCCGCAAUGGACGAAAGUCUGACGGAGCAACGCCGCGUGUGCGAUGAAGGCCUUCGGGUUGUAAAGCACUUUUGGCAGGAAAGCGGUACCUGCAGAAUAAGCACCGGCUAACUACGUGCCAGCAGCCGCGGUAAUAC